ensembl:lncRNA
UCACAUUUUUGUAAAUAUUUGAUUAUAUCUUUUCAUGUGACAACACUGAAGAAAGUGUGAGAGCGAUGACACCACAUUUAACACACCUGCUCCCCAUUCACACCUAACGAGUCACAUGACACCGAGGAGGGAAAAUGGCUUAUUGGGCCCAAUUUAGACAUUUUCACUUAGGGGUGUACUCAAUGGCUGUUUGUGUAGUUAUUUUGAGGGGACAGCUAAUUUACACUUUUAUACAAGCUGUACACUCACUACUUUACAUUGUAGCAAAGCAUCAUUUCUUCAGUGUUGUCACAUGAAAAGAUAUACUAAAAUAUUUACAAAAAUGUGAGGGGUGUACUCACUUUUGUGAGAUUCUGUAUGUACUGCCUAAAUCCAUCGUUGGCUAAUUUCUCAAAGUAAAGCAACGGUUGUCAAAUCGUAUCAUCAAGGUGUAAUUGUAUCUACGACUGUAGUUCUGGAAGACCUGGAGGACCAGAGUCAGGCAAUAGGAGAGACAAUCUUUGGGUCAGUAUCUGCACAUAUGAUACACACAGGGAAAAACACCCAGGAAGACCCAUGGCAGAAUGGAGGGAUGCAUUCCAGAAGGAGACAAUGACAUGAUCAAAUACUGUGAAAGAUUGUCUGACAGUGGAGGUUGUAACUGAUUGGGUUAAUCCACUGAUCACUGACAUGGUACCAAUGAGCAGUGGAUGAUUAGAGAUAACCUUUCUCCAGUUGGGAGGGUGGGACCGAUUGGGAGGGAUUGAAACUCAAUGAAGGGCAAACAGGACGAAAAGACAGGAGAAAUAAAUACCAACAACAAUAUAAAUGUAGUUAUCGGAAAGGCCUUUAAGGACACAGAAUGAAGCUCUAGUCACAUCAUGUAUAGUAUCAUUUUCAUGCAUAAAACUGUUCAUACAACCUGUUGAAAACCUACAGAUUUUUUUACAGUAUCACAGCCACUGUAGAUAUUACAGUUCAUCUCAGACCUUCAUCAGGUGUUGUUAAGUUCCAUUAGAAAACAUCAUUUUGUAAGGUUAGUGAAGCGGUUCUUUAUGAAGACAAAAAGUCUAAAUGGUUUCACCAACUCCCCUUUCAUUCAGAGUACAGUUAAACCCAUGUGAUUCUGCUUGAGUAAAUCCCUUGGUGAGAUUAGAUGCUCACCAAGACAUUUAUUAGCUGAAUCAAUUGGAAAGCUCCAGUCCACCAGGAUAACUGAGCCUGCUUUAAAUCCAUCCCAGGCAUUCUGCCUUCUCAAUGAGAUAAUCUGUUACUGAAAAAAAUCCCUUGAGAGGUUCGGUCUCCAUAGAUUGAAUGAACUCCAUGUACUUCUCUUCCAUGAUGGGAAUCCUUGCAGUGGUGUCUGGACAGUGUUCUACACACACGGAAAUAAAAGACAGAGAAACAUAGACAUACACUGUAUGAUUUUGAAUUAUGACAGGUUAUUGCUUACAGUAUGUGUAAAGAUUAUUUCAUACUGUAUUUUCAUAGCGACUGAAUAUCUGUAAUAACAAAAUCAAAAAAUCUGUUUACUGUAGUAAAUUAAAAUAUACAACCCAAAUAAUCACCUAAGUGACAACAAUGAAAAAAUGAGCAGAUUAGUAUAAACAGUUCCAGAAAAAAUUAAGAGACCACUGCACCUUUUUCAUUCCUUUCUAAAUAAGUUGAGUGAGGAACAGAAGCGUUCAAUUUGCAGUGGUUUCUUAACUUUAACCCUUUCUGUUCCACGAAGACAUGCCCCAGAAAUACCCAGCCAGUGGUUUAUUAAGGAAGCAUGUUAAUCAAAGGCCUAUAACAGGAUGGUGGGUGAGCUUUAAGAAUCUCUUUCCUUUAGUUCUGACGAUCAUUAUGGUCUGCUAUCGUAUGUGUGAAAUGAGACUAACGUAUGUAAGUACAAACAUUGCUGUGAGACAUCUCAGCAUGGCGACUGGAAAGCUUUGAGGACAAUAAGAAUGUCCUGGCUGCACUGUUAUUUAAAAGGGAUUGACCUCAAACCUGACAUGUUUGCACAGAGCCCUUCUCAGUUUAACUGCAGAGACAGUGUUAGGAUGUUGACUAACCUGUCUUAGAGUUGAGGAAAACUGCCUGUGGCAAGUUGAGACAGGCAACCUGUGUCUUGAACUGAAACAGUUCAGCAGCGGAGAGUUCUCUUCUCUUACCUGUCAGAAGGGAAUGAAAGUGAAUCAGUAUUUUUCCAAUUAUUAAGUUAAGAAAUUUAAAUUAAAUAUUGAGUUAAGAAAAUAGCAAUGAACAGGUGUCCGUGGUCCAACUGUGGGAGGGAGGGCGUUGGAUCUCGACAGGUGUGCCAUGCCGGGAUGUGAAGUGACAAUAAAUGAAAGAGGGUGUUGGAUCUCGACAGGUCUGCCAAGCUGGGAUGUCUACAAGUCUCCAAAUGUCAGGAAUGCUUUCUUUAAUGAAUAAACUGUAAUGGACACUAAGAAUUCAACUUUCCAUAAUUCUAAUAGUAAAAACUUUGUUAUUAAAACCGCAAUUUUCUGCCAGCAAAAUCACCUCAACUUCAAUCCCUUUCAGUUCAAGUGCCAUCAAUUAAAUUCCUUUCAGUUCUUACUGUAGAGUUCCAGAGACAUGAAGUUGUUUCCAUUGAUGGUGGUUGUAAUCUGGUUCAAAAGACAGUCUGGACAAGUUGGCAGGAAGACCGCGGAAGAAGGGAAAUUGUACGCUGUGAAGACACACAGACAGAUGGGAAAAGACAGACAGACAGGCUGAAACAGGUAAACAGGUCAAAGUAGUUCACUACUAUGGCCCUAUCACCUGGGUCUCUAUGUGUUGGUUCUUUAGUGCUCAGUAGUUGUGUGACAUGGGUCUCUAUGUGUUGGUUCUUUAGUGCUCAGUGGGUUUGUGACAUGGGUCUCUAUGUGUUGGUUCUUUAGUGCUCAGUGGUUGUGUGACAUGGGUCUCUAUGUGUUGGUUCUUUAGUGCUCAGUGGUUGUGUGACAUGGGUCUCUAUGUGUUGGUUCUUUAGUGCUCAGUAGUUGUGCUAAAGUUAAUGAUGUGGAAAACGUUGAAGAACCUGACUUAAUCUGAAUUAGUCUUAACGGCAGAAGUUAUAUACAUGAUUUUGUCCUAUAUGCCGGGCCUUUUAGAUAUUUACAGAUAGGGUCCUGUAUGCUUGUCUACAAUUGUUCACAUCGAGCGCAUUGUGGUAAUUGGUCAGAUGCUGUAAAAGCUAAUCUCUCUUGAACCUUCCCACUUACUCCAGUUGAGCUUGUUGUCUUCAAGGGCAACACUGAUAUUGCUACUGGAACAUGUCCCAUCCAACCUGGGAAGGGAGGAAGAUAAUGGAGGGUCAUGAGGAAGAGAGACAUAAGGUAGGAUGAGGAGGACAAGGAAAAGCAGAUAAUCAGGAGGAGCCAAUUAAAGUGUAGGCAGUAAACAUUGCAUUGAAGUAUUCACCAAGUCUGUGUUUUCUUCUACUCUCCAAGGGCUCAAUUCUGCGUGACACCAAGCAGGUCAAACAUCUCCCACCGUUCCACUCUUGUGACAUCCCAUCCCUCAUACUCUCUUCCCUCUCCAACAAUCUCCAAAAUAAAGGUUCUGUGUUGUAAAACUUGGGAAUCUGCAUUUGAUAUGGUAAUGUCUAUGUAUGCUUCUCCAGAGUUUUUGAAGACAACACACAGGACAGCUACUGACAUCUACUCUGUUCGUUUUUCUCAACCACGUUCUCAUGUUCUGUGAACAUCAUCAUUCUUUGGGUGCAUACUGUGUGUGAUCGUCAGAGAACUGAUGAUUGAUGAUCGUGUAGUUACACACACACACACGCGCGCACACACACAGACACACACACAGCUCUAACAGAAGACACAGUCCUAACAUACGUCUUUGAGAACACCACGAGCUAAUCGACAAUCACAAGCCAAAAUUCUGUUGUGAAACCAAUUCUGCAACAUUUACAGAUCAAUACUGACUACACUGGUCAGUAAACACGUUAAUUAAAGGUUGUGAGUAUUGACCGAAGGAUAGAAAACAUAGGGGCUCUUAGAGGGAGAUGCUUCCUUAUAUAACAUAACAUCAGAAGACACACUGUAGCUUUUGGUAGGGCCUCGAACCUACAACCUUCAGUAGUACACUACCCCCACCAAGCAGGAGAGCAUGUGAUUGUGCAUUUCAGUACCAAGACACGCCACUCCAGGCCCAAUUCUGACACCAAUAUAGCAUUUAGCGGGGCAUGGUCUUGGACCAGAAACCUUCAGCUUUGCAGCCAGACACAAAACCAUCUGAUGCAGAAAGGGAUAUCUCCUCUGCAGGGAUUAGUAGUGGCCUAAUAAUAUGUAAAUGUACAUAUAUACCAAGGGGCUCAAGCAAACAAACACACGCACUUACAUUUUUACAUAAAAGGUUACUUUAAACAUGUUCGGGAGUGGCCCUGGUGACAACUCUGACCAGAUGUUAUCCAUGAGGACUUUGACCAAAGUCCUGGCUCCUGUUAAUAAAUAAUAGCUGAUGAUGAAACAAGGACGACAGUAGAAGAUCGUUAAAUUUUUUGGUUGGAAACAGAAUUGUUUAGUGUCUCAAACAAACAACAAAACAUGACCAAAGAAACAAGACACAAUUGUUGCUAUGAAGGAGGAGUUUAGAUGAAGGAAAACGUAAUAAAACAGUGGUUGGGUGUUUGUGAUUGCUAUAUAGGACCAGUUCCCGAUCAGCUGAUUGGAUCAGACACACAGAUUAAACAAACAUAAUUAAUAUACAGCUCCGGGAAAAAAUGAAGAGACCAAUGCACCUUUUUCUUUCCUUUCCAAAAAAGUUGAAACGGAAGGUUUUGAAUGAGGUUGACAGAAUGGCUUGUGGGAAUCAUACAGCAAAACUGUAACGAGGACGCGCGUGGAGGACGCCCCUCCCGACGUGGUGUUCGGCGUGCGUCAUCGCCGGCCUUCUAGCCACGCCGCUCCUCCUCCCACGGCACUGUCCUGUCUUGUUAUUGCACACACCUGGUGUCCAUUCCCUCAUUAGGUUGCCUAUAUUAGUUCCCUUGUUUCUGGGCGUCUUUGUGUGGUAUUGUUCUAUGUUUGGUGUUUGUAAUUGCAAAGCUGUUGCACGCUUUUGCGCUCUUGUUGUUACGCGUGCCAUUUUUGUUAUUAAGAAAGUAAGAAAGAAGAGUAACUACCUCCCUGCGUUUGGCUCCCUUAUUCACGCACCUCGACACACCAGUGACAAAAACCAAACACAUCCAUUUGGUUUAGAACAAAACCAAACACAUCCUUGUAUUCAAGAGGCUACUGGUUCUCAAUUAAACACAUUCUUGUAUUCAAGAGACUACUGGUCCUCAAUUAAACACAUCAUUGUAUUCAAGAGACUACUGGUUCUCAAUUAAACACAUCAUUGUAUUCAAGAGACUACUGGUUCUCAAUUAAACACAUCAUUGUAUUCAAGAGACUACUGGUUCUCAAUUAAACACAUCAUUGUAUUCAAGAGACUACUGGUUCUCAACUAAACACAUCAUUGUAUUCAAGAGACUACUGGUUCUCAAUGAAACACAUCAUUGUAUUCCUAAGACUAUUGGUUGUGGAGAAAGUAGACUGAGACUUUUCGACUUUAGUGAACUACAGUAUUGUCUGUUGAUACUCACCGGGUCUAUGGUUUUCAUCUCUAGAGGUUUCAGAAGAGUCUCACAGGUUUGAGAAACAGGAGUCGCCUGACUCACUGAGACCAGACUGAAGAUCACAGCAACACACACCACCAACAUGCUGAAAUUACCCAUGUCUCCCUAUGUAGUACCUAUGUAUCACGAUGUAUCCUUUAUGGCUUCUAAUCCCGCCUCUAUGUACUCCCUAUAUAUAGUCU